rnacentral:rRNA from 1 species
UAGGGAAUAUUAGAAAUGGACGAAAGUCUGAUCUAGCAACACCGCGUGUGCGAAGAAGGCCUUUGGGUCGUAAAGCACUUUUUGGAAGGAAUAGGAAGGAAUGUACUACCAGAAUAAGUCUCGGCUAACUACGUGCCAGCAGCCGCGGUAACACGUAGGAGGCAAACGUUAUCCGGAUUUACUGGGCGUAAAGCGCGUGUAGGUGGUACUGUAAGUAGGGCGUGAAAGCUCCUGGCUCAACUGGGAGAGGCCGUUCUAAACUACAGAACUAGAGGAUGGUAGAGGGAGGUGGAAUUCCAGGUGUAGCGGUGGAAUGCGCAGAUAUCUGGAGGAACACCGGUGGCGAAGGCGGCCUCCUGGACCACUCCUGACACGCAGACGCGAAAGCUAGGGUAGCAAACGGG